AACCCCUCACAUUAUUGGGGUCCCAUUGACCCCCCCCAAAUAACACCUCACAUUAUUGGGGUGCCGUUGAUCCCCUCUUCCUCAAUAACACCUCAUUUUAUUGGGGUCCCAUUGAUCCCCUCCUCCUUAAUAACACCUCAUUUUAUUGGGGUCCCAUUGCCCCCCCCAAUAACACCUCACUGUAUUGGGGAUCCUAUUGCCCCCCCCAAAUAACACCUAUCAUUAUUGGUCCCUUUGGUCCUCUUCUCCUCAAUAACACCUAAUUUUAUUGGGGUCCCAUUGACCCCCCCCCCCCCGUCAAUAACACCUCACUGUAUUGGGGAUCCUAUUGCCCCCCCCAGAUAACACCUCACAUUAUUGGGGUCCCCUCCCUGGGAUGCCCCUGAGCCCCCGCCAUGGCGGCCCCCCCCCCCAGCGGCAGCAGCAUCAUCGUCCUCGACGAUGAGGACGAGGGGCUCCCCGCUCCCCCCCCCCGCCGUCAGCAACCCCCCUCCGCCCCCCACGCCCCCCCCCCAGCCCAAUGGGGCCCCCCCCGGCAGCCCCGGGCCCCCCACCCCCGGUGGCAGCAAAGCAGGAGGCUUCAAGGCUGAGAACGAGCGGCUCUUCACUGAGUUCCUGGAGCUGUGCGGCGCCCUCACGGAGGAGCACCCCGAGGUGCUCCCGUUCCUAUCCGGCCGCCACCAAAAGGCCACGGCCGAAUUCCUGUCGUCGGCGGAGUUCAGGAACAUCUUGUCGCGCUGCCUGGCCCGCGUCCGCGCCCGCCGCAACAAAGUCUACGUCUACAUCAACGAGCUGUGCACGGUGCUCAAAGCGCACACCCUGCGCAGGAAGCUCAGCCUGGCCUCCGCCCCGCCGGGACCCCCAUCGCCCCCCCCAACCGCCGCCGCCGCCGCCGCGUCGUCCCCGGAGCCCGGAGCCGCCCCCCCCCGCCCCCCCGGCGGCUCCAAGCGCCAGAUCCGCUACUUGGAGAACCUCCUCCGCGUGUACACGGGGGAGAUCCGGCGGCUGCAGGAGCGGGAGCUGGACCUGGCCGAGCUGGACAGCGAGGACUCGUCGUACCUGCAGGAGAGCCGGCUGAAGCGGAAGAUGAUGCGCAUCUUCCAGCGGCUGUGCGAGCUGAAGCAGUGCAGCAGCCUGACGGGCCGCGUCAUCGAGCAGCGCAUCGCCUACCGCGGCACGCGCUACCCCGAGGUCAACCGCCGCAUCGAGCGCUUCAUCAACCGGCCCGAGGCCUUCCCCGACUACAGCGACAUCCUGAAGGUGAUCCAGAAGGCCAGCGCCAGGCACAGCCUGGGCCUGGCCAGGAGGCAGAUGGAGAGCAUGGCUCAGGACGCCUUCCGGGAGGUGGGGAACCGCCUGCAGGAGAGGAGGCACCUGGACCUGGUGUACAACUUCGGGAGCCAUCUGACGGAUCAGUACCGGCCGGGCACCGACCCGGCCCUGCUGGACCCCGAGUUGGCCAAACGGCUGCGCAGGAACCGCACGGUGGCUCUGAACCGACUGGACGCCGUGAUUCAGCGCUACGCACAGCUGCAGGACGAGAGCGAGGAGGAGGAGAGGGGCAGGAAGAGGGCUGCGAGGCUGCAGGGCGGCGCCGGCAGCAACAGGGAGCAGAGCGGGGCGAGCCCACGGAGCACCGCCAAGGAGAGCCGCGAGGAAGAGGAGGAGGAGGAGGAAGAGGAGGAGGAGGAAUCCAACAAGGAGGAGUCGGAGGAGGAAGAAGAGGAGGAAGAAGAGGAGGAGGAAGAGGAGGAAGAGGACGACUCUGACGCUGCAGCGGGAAAAGAGGAGGAAGAAGAGGAGGAAGAGGAGGAGGAAGAGGAGGAGGAGGAGGAGGAAGAGGAGGAGGAGGACACCAACAGCGCUGCGAAGGCUGAGGGCGAAGUGGCCGCCGCGCAGGAUCCGCCCCCCCCCCGAGGAAGAGGAGGCCCCGAGGCCGAAGGAGGAGGACGAGCAGAGCCCCGCGCCGGAGCUCUUUGUCCUCGAGAUCGAAGCGCUCCCCCUGGAGCCCCACGAGACCCCCCCGGGCUCCCCCGGCCCCUCCGAGGCGACCCCCAAAGCCGCCCCCGCCUCCCCCCAACCCUCGGAAGCCACCCCCCCACCGCCGCCCCCUUCUGCGGGGGUCCCCAUUUCGAGGACUUCCACCCCAAAAGCGGAGGAGGAGGAAGCCGGGCUCGGUGAGGGGCUCUGCUCAGUCUGGACUCGUCCCCAAACCCCGAUCCCACUCCCAAUGAAAAGACCCCACGGCAGCCCCCACCCCAUGGAGAAUGGGGCCGGGGGGGGUCCCAUCAGUUCCACCAGCGUCAACGGCAGCACUUCACCCCCCCUCAAACGGAGCCGGCGUGACCCCACGGGGGGCAGCCCGUGCCUGGAGGUGCACAGCGUGGGCUCGGAGGAUGAGGAGGAUGCUGGCGGUGUGGGGGGGGUCCCGGCGCAGCCCCCUGCCCGACUCCACCCGCGCCGACUCCCCCGGCCGUGACCUGGUCAGCAGCUCCCAGGGCA